rnacentral:lncRNA from 1 species
CUGCAAGGUGUUCCAGUAUGUCCUUCUGGGAUAACUAGAAAUGGAAGGCCAGGAGCUGUUAAUAGGUCAGAAGUAGUAGACUAAAGACUGACAAAGGACUAUGGUUUGUUGUUGUUGUUGUUGUUGCUGUUCUUUUGAGACGGAGUCUUGCUCAGUCGCCCAGGCUGGAGUGCAGUGGCGUGAUCUCGGCUCACUGCAAGCUCCGCCUCCCAGGUUGACGCCAUUCUCCUGCCUCAGCCUCCCGAGGAGCUGGGACUACAGGCGCCUGACACUGUGUCCGGAAUUGGUGGGUUCUUGGUCUCACUGACUUCAAGAAUGAAGCCGUGGACCCUUGCGGAAUCACUUUCUCACACUGUUUUGUCCAAUGUUUGGAAAACACUGUUUCAUGUAUUUGGUCUGGCUUCUCAUUUCUAGAGUGGAAAGCGUGAUGCUGAGGUAUUCCCUGUAUCUUCUUUGAACAAUGGGAUGGAAUGGCAUACAGCAGAAAUAAUGCUCUUAGUUUCUGCCUUGGACCAGAAGCUCUCUCUUCCUGUUACUUGGAGCCCUGUGUCUCCCUGUGAGUAGCCCAACUACCUUCCUGCAGAGAUAUCAUGAAUCUUGGGGAGCACACAGAAAGGAAGACAGCCCCCAGAAAUAGUUACUUGCUGAUUGCUGAACUGAGGGUCUCCGUUCCUCCUGAACUUGUGGCACAAUGUUUUCCUCGAUUUUUCACCAAAUGGACAUCUUCCAAAUCAGGCAGCUCACAUUGGCUUCAUUGGAGCAGCAAGUGAGUGGGCAAGAAAGAGUUCAAGAAAGAUGGUUCCAAAUAUAUGCAAGUCUUAGUCACCUGUAACCUAAUAUCAGUAGUGUCAUCCCAUCACCUUUACUGUGUUCUAGUCAUUAGAACCAAACUACUAGUUCCAGCCCACACUCAAGGGUAUGGAAUUACACAAGGGAAAGAAUACCAGGACGUAAAGAUCAUUCAUGACAAUUUUAGCAGUCUGUCUGCUACAAAUCCUUAGCUUUCCAGAAGUAUACAAAAGAAUUUUAGCCCCUCUUCGGUCAUGGAGUUAUCUAUCAAGAUUGAGUUACUCAAAUAACCUGGUAUAUUCUAUGAUUUCUCAUAUUAAACAUUCAAUUUAAUGUCAAUAAUCAAUCAAGGAUGUAUUUUGUCUCUUUUAGUAAGAUUUUCCUUCUUUGGGUUUAAAAAAAUCUAUUAAAGUUUCAAUAGAGUUUCUUGCAUGUGAUAAAUGUUUAAUAACUGAAUGCAUGGAGAAAACAAAAUUACACACUACUCAGACAUAUAUUGGUAGACAUUGGAUAUGUUUAGACUUAAAUGAUACUUUUCAUUUAAAUUAAAAUAACUGAAAGAAUUUUUUGUAUGCAUUAACUCUGAUAGAUAUGUAUGCUCAUUAUCUUCAGCUGCCCUCUUCGUGAUGAUGUCCUGUCUCUAUUAGCAUGAUUUGGUUAGCUGGCCCAAAGCCAGGCUACCUGUGUUCCAAGUUGACUAUGCAUUUAACUGGAUUCGUAAAUUUGAAAGGUCUUUUUCUAUGCUAUGCCUCUGUUUUCUCAUCCCACAUCCAUAUCCUCAAUUAAAUACAUCAACAAACCUCACUAUUAUUAACUCAAAAUGUAUUCUUAAUCCAACCAUGCCCAUUGUUUCCAUCACUAUUUCCAUGUUCUAAACCACCAUACAUUUUGGUUUAGGUUUUGUCAAAGGCCUUCAGACACUU